UACGAAGGGGGCUAGCGUUGCUCGGAAUUACUGGGCGUAAAGCGCACGUAGGCGGUCUUUUAAGUCGGUGGUGAAAUCCUGGAGCUCAACUCCAGAACUGCCUUCGAUACUGGAAGACUUGAGUUCGGGAGAGGUGAGUGGAACUGCGAGUGUAGAGGUGAAAUUCGUAGAUAUUCGCAAGAACACCAGUGGCGAAGGCGGCUCACUGGCCCGAUACUGACGCUGAUGCACGAAAGCGUGGGGAGCAAACAGG
rnacentral:rRNA from 1 species